UACAGAGGUCUCAACCGUUGUUCGGAUUCAUUGGGCGUAAAGGGUGCGUAGGCGGUCGCGCAAGUCGGAUGUGAAAUCUCAGGGCUCAACCCUGAAACUGCAUUCGAUACUGCGUGGCUAGAGUGCUGGAGAGGAGACUGGAAUUUACGGUGUGGCAGUGAAAUGCGUAGAUAUCGUAAGGAAGACCAGUGGCGAAGGCGAGUCUCUGGACAGCAACUGACGCUGAGGCACGAAGGCCAGGGGAGCAAACGGG
rnacentral:rRNA from 1 species